UCAAGGUCACGGUCCACGGGUCCGGUGCCGGUGCCCUCCCCCGCGCAGGCGAUGGGCUUGGGCCAGGGUGGCGGGGGCUGCGGGGUGCAGUCAGAGGAACCAGAGGGGCCACAUCCCCUUCCGCUCCCCAGCCGCGGCCACCUUCCUCCCCUCGCUGCCGGCGAGGUGAUACGCUAUGCGUGUAGCGUCGGAAUAACACACGUUCGGCAGAACAAAUAGUGUUAAUUUGCGGUGGGGGCAGCAGCUGCGCCAGAAUUAACAACCGCGUGUGGAGGAUCAGUGGGGCCAUGCGUCACCGUCAGAGGGACAAGCCCCGACGAGGGGCGGCCUCACAUCUCCUGGGAGGCGGCUGUUUCCGGGAACCUCUCCCCUCCCGAGACCCCUGCCCAGAGUGCCCCGUGCCCAUCGCCGAGCCCACCCAACAGUGCCGCCCAGGUCGGGAGUGGGGUCAGGCACGGCCUCCGUCCGCACCUCCAGGAGUCCAGGCCGCAUGUGGUGGGGCGGGUGGCUCGGCCCUGUUUCAGACACUGGCUCACCGGCCGGGCCCCCCAGAUACAGCCGGGGCCAGACCGCGUCGGACCUCGUUCUCAGCUCCCUCUCCCUGAGCCCUCCAUGGACGCCCCACCUCUGCUCCGUCCGUCCUUCUUCAAGAGCCUCCCCAGCGCGAGCCUAAUCAAUCCGCCUGUCUACUUACUGCUAUUCAUUACCCGCUGUCCGCUGCUCGGAGCCUGGGGUCCCUAUUGAUCGGCAGAGAUGUUGGCGGCUCCGAGAUGCACCGCUUCUCCCAGGCGACUUGCCUUCCUCGGCCGCCCGUCCCUGCGGCUCACGAGAGCCUGCCCUGGGUGUCGGGGAAGGCUGCCAUCACACAUCCCUGCCCCACCGCACCCCGUGCAGAUUUAACGUCCUCCAUCCAUCCUUGUCGCUGCUGGGGGGCCACGUGCGCUUGUGCACCUUCCUGAUCCUUCCAGCUCUGGGAAUCUGGGCUGUUCCCCGGGAGGGGCAGAAAGAGGCAGGUGUGGGGGAGGGGGAGGGCCUGGGGGCCUGCUGCUGCUCCUCGCCAGCCCGAGGGGCCCAGGAUCUUCCCACCGUGCUUUCUCUAGCCCCGGCCUCCCCCUCCCCUGUGGGGAGGAGGGUUCUUCGGGAUUUGUAUGUCUGCUCUCAGGGGCCUGCUGCUGAGGUCAGUGCUGGGCGCUAGAGCCUUCAGGGAAUGCCUGAGGACGUGGCUUGACCCAAGCCACAGCCCUGGGCCCAGGACCCAGGGCGUGCACUGCCCAGUCCUGUGUCCUCCAGAGCCUGGGUCACACCUCUGAUUGCAGGGCCUCGGGUAGCCUGCCGGCCUGUCUCCACUGUAAGUUGCCAGGCUGGGCCACCCAGCCACCCAUCUGACUGCUUCAGGGUCCUUAUAACCUCCCGGGAGAGGCGAGGGUCUCUAGUCAUUGGAGCCCCUCACCCAGGGGCGUCCUGCCACUCUGGCUCGUCAGCAGACGUUCCAGGGCGAGGGCUUGCCAGGGGCUUGGACAAGUCGGGGCACGCUGUCAGCCUCCGGGAAAUCGAGCCCCACACCCAACACAUACAGGUGCAGAGCAGAAGUGGCCCCAGGAGUUCGGGGAAGGAACAGCGGCCCCGGGGGGCCCCUGGGAGCAAAGGCUGGUGGGGGCAGUGGGGGGAGGCUGCAAGGACGGGCCAGACCUCGCGGGCGGGGGGAGGAAGCAGCCCUUCGAGAAGAGGACAGAGGUGUGGCCCCUGUUCACCUCCUGAACCCAUCUGCUUCCGGCUGACUCUGUUCACCCCUGGCCCCAGGCGGCCUCCAGGCCCUCUUGUCUCCUGUUGUACGAAUUCCUACUUUGCAGAAAAAAACAUCUUUCCGGGAUGAGAUUCAGCCUACAACCACAACACAUAGGACGGUUUGUGAGUAUUGCUCUGCUGCGAGAGGGGUGGAGGUGAUGUUGCCACAAUCACCCCUGCCCGUCCUGCAUGGAGGCCUCUCCCUGCAGCGAGAGGGCUUGUCCACCACAGCCUGGACCUCGCUGUCCCACACCCGGCCCGGCUCCCGAUGGCAGCCAUCACCGCAGCCCCCCACUCACAGUCCCGACCGCGGGAUCCUGGGGGGCGUGUUUGCAGGGUGGGUUGUGGGUUUGGCUAAUGGGGAAGAGGGGCGGUGUGCAGGGUCUCUCCUCUCCCCUUUCCCCUGCCUGGGGCCAGGAGGUGCAGAGGGUGCUAGUCCCCGCACCUCUUCCUGAGCCCGGGUGGCCGCGGUCACUGCCGGGUCACAUCUGUGGGGCACACGCGAGCGGCUCCAGAUGCACAGAAGGGCUGCACGCACACACGUCAGUUUCCUCCGGCGCCCUCUUGGCGCCAGAAGCCGCCUGUUCGUUUGAAUGCAUAAUUAGCCCGAGCAUUCUACCUCGCUAAUUUCGAGGCAGGGGAAGGGAGUGGAGGGGUGCAGGAAUUUGCAUAUUAAUUUAGCCGAGGGAGAGAAAAUUGUUUACCACUUCCUCCUCGCAGAGGACUUAACUCUUUCCUGUUUGCUGUCUGGAGCCGUGUGGGAGGGCCCGCGUGGGGCACAGCCAGCCCGCCCCAAGGCCCGAGUCCUCGGGGCCAGGCCGCCCGUACAGGGGGCCUCAGGGGCCCGACAGUGCAGGGACGGGUGCUCCUGGGGGUCUGCUAAUGACCCCCACCUCCAAUCUUCAGGAACUGGAGAUACCUGGGCCUUUUAGCCGCCCCUUGUCUCCAUCCAUUUGGUCAUUUAGGCUACAGCCUCCACGGCACACCAGAUCCCGUGUCAGCACAGCGCUGGGGGCCGCGGUGGGUACGUGUGGCUGCCUCCCCACCAGGGUGGCAAGUCUGCACUCACUUCGGCAGAGGAAAGCUACAGAGAGCCCUCCAAUGUCAGAGGGAAGACGAGCUUUCACAGGAGUGGUCAAGGCAGGCUUCCUGGAGGAGGUGGCAUCUGCCGUGGGCUCUGGAGGAGAAGGCUUUUCACAGGCAGAGGAGGACGUCCCUCCAAGUGAUGGAGCUUGUGACAGUAAGGGCCAAGGGGGCAGGAGGCACUCUGGAGACGUUUGGGGAGCUGGGUCCUCUGUUCUGGUCAGAUUCAGGGCUUGUGAGAUCUCAGAAAGGCCCUGAUGAAGGCAGAGCGAGGCCAGUGCCCUGCACUUGACCGCGUCACCAUGUAACUGAGCCUUCAUCUUGCUGUGAGGACACUAACGACUCCACAGGUGGUUGCGGGCUGGAGUGGGGACGCCCGGCGCCCCCAGCACGGUCCUGUCUUCAGCAACACUGCUGCACGCUGUGGCUGAAAUCCCCACGCAAAGGACAGCAGGGCAUCCGCUUGGAAAAGUCUGGAACAUCGAAGUGACCAGGCAGCUCCAGUUUCCCCAGAGACCAUGUUUAACGGGGGAGACUUGUAGGCAAAGGCCUCAUCUUCAGUGUGGCAGGGACAGGGGCACACAGCCGGUCCCUGUCCCCCAGCCCCAUGAGCACCAGACGAGUAGCCACGAAUUGCCCGGGCCACACCUGCCCCACACUGCAAACCUGGGUGAGGGCGGCCCACUGCCACGCCCGACGGCAGCUAGGAGCACAGCUGCACGAGGGCAUCGCCCGGCAUCUCCUAAAGUGCACAGACGCCACCUGAACCGCAGCUUUGGAAUUAGGACGGAGGGCCCUAAUCCCGGCCAGGCCCGGGCCCUUCUCAGAGACUCUGUUUCUCUGCACCACAAUAGGCCUGGCCUCAUCCGGAGCCAGGGCAGACAUCACUGAUCGAUCACAGCGCCUCCCCCACGACCCACAGGAACUCCGGGGAGCCACCGUCUGCCAGCUGUUUCCUCCUGGAGUAGAUAAGCUCCAGGGUGCUCCUACCAGGGGUGAUCUACACCCCACACGCAGGGGUGUAGACUCCUCGAGAAGUCACGUGGCUGCCAGCACGGAGGAGAACUGGGCCGCGGACCCAGGAACAGCCUGCUCCCGCCAAGCUUUCUCGCAGCCGCCAAGACCCGCGGCAGCUGGUGAGUGGUGCACUCGCUGGGCUGCGCCUGGAUGGCUGGCCACCCACACCAGAUGGGAGAUCUUGCUUCCCGGCUCAGUAGGGCACCAGGACCAAGAACACGGGCCUUGCGGUCACAGAGACUUGGGUCCUGGAAGGGCUGCGCUCUGCAGCUGGCCAUCCUGUGGCCUGGAGGAGAUACCCCGGGGGGAUUGUGUACCGUGCCUAACAAGGUGGGUGCCAGCGGGCAGUGACGCACAUGCUCCACCACAGAAGCCCACGAUGACCAGAGCUGCACAGCCACAGGCCGUGACGAUGACCACAGGGACGUGCCCCUCAGCACAGGAGGCCCGAAGACACAGGGUGUGGUGAGGUUAGGGAGGGACAGCGGUAGCAGGAUCAGGGACACGAUGACAUCCAGAAGCAGACCCGCUGGCUGUAGGAAGAGGGUCUGGCGAAGGAGGGCGGCCCCGGAGCACCCACCGUGCGGCCCGCAGGUGACGAGACACCCUCAGAGCCAGUGCAGGUGAGUCAGGGCCUGGACAAGUGCUCGGUUCCCCAACGCAGCCAGGCCCCUCACCAUGGACUCCUCUGCUGGAGGGGGCUGGGGGGCUCUCACCCCACUCAGGAGAGCCGUCAGGACGUGGCUGUGAUGGAGGGGGGUGCACAACCGGUGCAGAGCGGCUCGGCUCUCCAGGUACCACCCUGUGGGGACUCAGCCUGGCAGCUGGGGCUGGAGGGGGGUAGCUCCAGGAAACUCAGGAAAGACACCCCACUGCCGCACCCCUUCUCACCCAGGCCGUCCACCACCAGCCCUCCUCCCAGGGAGUUGAGAGGAGGGGCCGCCUUCUGUGUGGGGGUGGGGCUGCUGGAGGGCUCCUGUCUGCAGGGCGAGGCCCGAGGACCCCGCGGUACAGCCCACAGGGCUUCUCAGGGUGGCCUCGAGACACCUGCUGAGAAUGCAGAUCCCUGGGCCCACCCAGGCCCAGUGAACCCAAAACCACCCUCCAGGGUCCUACUGGCUGAUCGCUGGGGCCCUCCCAAGGCCCUUGCCCGGCCAGGGUCCAAGAGGCUCCCUGUCCUGCACGUGUCCCUUCAGGGAGCCUGGCAGACAGAACAGCAAGGCGCUCGGGGGCUGAGCCACGCAGGGCUGAGGGGCGUGGCUGGGGGCGGGGGGCUGGCAGAGCACAGACCCUGAGCAUGUGGACGCGGAGCAGCUGGGUGGGGGGGCUGUGGCUGGGUUGCCCCUGGCCCCCGAGAGACCGAACCCAGUCACUGGGGUCUACCCAGCGGUGGGGCGGGUGCCCUGGGAGGGCGGGAACAGCUUGCUCGGGCCCCUGCUGUCUCCGCUCAUGCGAGUGAGCCCGGAUGGCUCCUUUGUUUGGCUCCGUGGGCAUCGUGGGCUGGGUCUGGAGGUAAUCGUCUCCCUCCCGCAGCUGGCUGUCAGCUCACAUCUGUGAACCAGCUUCAUUUUCACCGUCAUUAACAAUCCCAGGUCUGACAGGUAGGGAAAAUCCCACGUAAAAACAACAACCCCGGGACCGAGCACAGCUCUAGCAGGAGCCCACCCCGCCCCUCACCACUUUGGGGUGGGCUGGGCUGAGCUGCACAGGUGCUGACCCGCCUCGAGCGCACGGCAGGGCCAAGAGGAGACACAGAGGCGGAAGGCACGCAGCACGCGGCGGCGAGUGGGGCACAGGGUCUAGCGUGGGCUGGGUGCCGCUGCGGGCGGCCCCCCACAGCCAGCCCCACGGACAGAUGAGGAAAGGAGACGCACUGUGCAGGACACGCAGCCGGAACCAGACGCUCCUCUCUGACCUCUGGCUGGAGACCCUGGCUGCUGUCCGCCUCCCUGCUCCUCUGUGUGGGGCGAGGUGUGUGCCCACGGGGGUCCACCAGGGCCCAUGGGUCUCUCCCCGGGCACUGGAGGAGGGUCCCGUGCCCCCCACCAGGUCACACAGGCACUCCAGCGGGUCACAAGGACAGAUGCCAGCCUUAUCCCUUGACAUCUCCCCAGCACUCGGGCACACCACUUGGUCCCCUGAACUUCCAGGAGCAUGACGAUAAACGGCAGUAAGCAGGGUGGACACGCCCGCUGUGGACCAGGAGGGCGCCGGGCCGGGCGUGCACAGUGUGACAGGUCCCACAGGUCACCCUGGGCUCUGCCCCCGCUUCAUCGGCCCAGACCCUGGGCAGUGUUAAGCGCUCAGGCCCCAGGGGAGCCUGCCCUCCCUUCUACCUCUAGGGGGCUGGUGCACAUGCUGGACAGCAGGCCCCCCGUCACAGUCCUGGGAAGUCUGUCCUUAGCGCCCACCACCCAGAGACCCUCCUACCGCAGGGUGGCAGUCACAGGUCUCAGGGCUUCUCUGCUGCUGUGCUUGGCCUGGUUUGGGCUGCUGGGGGCCUGGGUGAGCCUGGCCCCACAGACAGCAGGGACCUUGGCUGGAGCCCGAGGUGGCUCGGAGCCCGGGUCUCUCCCCAGGGCACCUGCGCUCACGUGGUUGCUGACACCUGGAAAGAGUUCACAUAAGGUUCAGGGGGGAUGAUGCACCGUCCCAGGGCGGCCAGCCCCCUCCUGGGAGACGGGGGCCCUCUGCCAGGCCGGGACCGCGGCACCACCGGCUCAGCCCUGGCAGCAGAGGGGUGGAGGCCCGGCGCGUGCAGGGUUAAGCGCUGAUUAUAGCUUUGUCUCUGCGUCGGGUGCAUAAUGUGCUCAUUUGCAUACUGCAGUGUGCGCUCAAUUAAAAUGAACUUUUAAUUUCUUCUAAGUAAA